rnacentral:lncRNA from 1 species
CUUUAUUAGCGUUUACAAAAGUGAAUUGACAAUAUGGUUUGAAAGUUUGAAAGUGAUUGAAGGUGAAAUAAUUGAGAAGUUGGAAUAGUGGAAGCUUGGUGUUGACUAGUUCUUCUAUUUUUUUUUUUAAAGUUUAUUUUAUUUUUUGCCGAUUAUUUAUUAGUUCAUUUUAUCUAACUUAAGACAAUAAUAAAAGCAAAGCAAACUAAAAGAAAAUUAUAACUAAAGAGAUGGGGGCAUACUUGUUUUUUUGGGAAAUAAGAUAAAUGAAAU